AGUAGCAUUACAGGGCAAAACCUUCAUUGGCAUGCUGCCAGACUAAGAUGUGGGACGCAUUCCUAUCGUGUGCAUCAUGCCAAAGGAGAUUUGCCCGGCGAUACUUAU
rfam:Ricinus communis cultivar Hale ctg_1100012359462, whole genome shotgun sequence.